rnacentral:rRNA from 1 species
UACGAAGGGGGCUAGCGUUGUUCGGAAUUACUGGGCGUAAAGCGCACGUAGGCGGACAUUUAAGUCAGGGGUGAAAUCCCGGAGCUCAACUCCGAAACUGCAUUUGAUACUGGCGUGCUUGAGGACUGGAGAGGAGACUGGAAUUCAUGGUGUAGCAGUGAAAUGCGUAGAGAUCAUGAGGAAGACCAGUGGCGAAGGCGGGUCUCUGGACAGUUCCUGACACUGAGGCACGAAGGCCAGGGGAGCAAACGGG